GGGAGGCAGCAGUGAGGAAUAUUGGUCAAUGGGCGAGAGCCUGAACCAGCCAAAUCGCGUGAAGGAUGAAGGUAUUAUGUAUUGUAAACUUCUUUUGUCAGGGAAUAAAGUGCUCCACGUGUGGAGUUUUGUAUGUACCUGAAGAAUAAGGAUCGGCUAACUCCGUGCCAGCAGCCGCGGUAAUACGGAGGAUCCAAGCGUUAUCCGGAUUUAUUGGGUUUAAAGGGUGCGUAGGCGGGCCUGUAAGUCAGCGGUGAAAGUUCUCGGCUCAACCGAGGAAUUGCCGUUGAAACUACUGGCCUUGAGUGUAGAUGAGGUGGGCGGAAUUCGUAGUGUAGCGGUGAAAUGCUUAGAUAUUACGAAGAACUCCAAUUGCGAAGGCAGCUCACUAGGCUACAACUGACGCUGAGGCACGAAGGUGCGGGGAUCAAACAGGAUUAGAUACCCUGGUAGUCCGCACAGUAAACGAUGAAUACUAACUGUUUGCGAUACACAGCAAGUGGUACAGUGCAAACGUUAAGUAUUCCACCUGGGGAGUACGUUCGCAAGAAUGAAACUCAAAGGAAUUGACGGGGGCCCGCACAAGCGGAGGAACAUGUGGUUUAAUUCGAUGAUACGCGAGGAACCUUACCUGGGCUUAAAUGGGGAACGACAGCUGCCGAAAGGUGGCCUUCUUCGGACGUUCUUCAAGGUGCUGCAUGGUUGUCGUCAGCUCGUGCCGUGAGGUGUCGGGUUAAGUCCCAUAACGAGCGCAACCCUUAUCGUUAGUUGCCAGCGGGUCAUGCCGGGGACUCUAGCGAGACUGCCACCGUAAGGUGUGAGGAAGGUGGGGAUGACGUCAAAUCAGCACGGCCCUUAUGUCCAGGGCUACACACGUGUUACAAUGGCCAAUACAAAGGGCAGCUACCGGGUGACCGGAUGCUAAUCUCUAAAGUUGGUCUCAGUUCGGAUCGAAGUCUGCAACCCGACUUCGUGAAGCUGGAUCCGCUAGUAAUCGCAUAUCAGCCAUGAUGCGGUGAAUACGUUCCCGGGCCUUGUACACAC
rnacentral:rRNA from 1 species